AUGCACCCUGGGAUUUUUUAUGGUUGUGUGCAUGGAUUGAUACUGGAGCAGCUGACAGAUAUAGAAGGAUACAACAUGUAAAUUCUGCUGCGAGGGGGCCCUAUAUCAAGACAUAAACAGUUGCCAAAUGUUGUGUGACUCAAGUCAGUUAGGAUUCUGCUCUGAUCUGGAGACAGUUUCCGAUGUGAGGAGAGCUCAGAGAUUACUUUUAAACUUUAGGUAUUGAAAAGUGGAUUUAUCCUCACUCCUGACUGCCACAGCGACCUGCAGAGGUGACCCGCAUUGUUAGGUGUUUAUGUUCUGUAAUGUUGACUGCUGACUGGCGCUGGAGGGGAAAUGUAAUUUAACUUAUGACUGUCAUACUACUGAGAGAAAAGGGGAAAAGAUGAGGGAGAACCAGAGUGCAUGGUGAGUGCUGACUCUGUUCAUGCUGUCGCUGGCAGCUAACAUACAGUGAAGUAAACUGGCUGUUUAGGCCGAAUUAUCACUGUGUGAGUUACUCAUAUACACAACACAAAUGAUCGCUUCACUUGUGGUGGAUAUACCCAGUGUUUCCCAUUAAUUACUUAGACUCUGGCGGCCCGCCAUGGUCUAAUUUAUUCCGCCACAGUCUCAGAGUGAACAGAAAAAAAUCUUACACUUCUCAUAAUAACAUAAAAGAUCUGUAACAUGUGUUUCGCGCUGCGGCUUUGGCAAAGGAUCUCUCACUCUCUGUCUGUCGGCUCUGCCUCGCUCUGCCCCCACCCCGCUGUACAUGGUGCGCGCACACUCACUUACACACGCACGCAUCACGCAGGCACGUACGCACUGGAAUACAUCGCGUUACCUUACGGCAUUGUGAAGCAGAAGUGAAGACGACGUGAAGAAGGCAUUUUAGGACACCACAUCGUUUGAGGACAAGAACCAGGCUGAAAUAAUGACCCUGCUAGCCAGUGAGUGCGAUGAAUGGGGACAGAUAUACCCAUUACUCAGCCGAUUGGCAGCAAUUGCACUUGUCAUUCCGGUGUCAAGUGUCAACUGUGAGAGAGACUUCUCCACCAUGAACAGGGUCAAAUCAGAGCUUUGCAACAGGCUGCAAGGAGAGCACCUGGCUGCCUGCCUGAGGGUCUCCAUCAAUGGGCCGUGUCCAGAGAAAUUUAAUUACCAAAGGGCAUAAGAAGUGUUUUUUUCAAAACCCAGGAAAAUUCAAUGUCCAAAUUCAGGGUGCAAAGUUUGCAAAUAGGAGUGUUGUAUAAAUGUGUAUUUUGGAUGUUUUCUUUCAACUAGUCUGAAAGAAGACAAGUUAUGGAAGCAAAAGAGGCCAAAAUGUUUUUGCCUGCCAAAAUGUUGAUGUACCCUCCGAAUCCAUUUUAUUUUUUAUUACAAUUUAGCUUACAGUUUAAUUAUUUAUUAUUUUAUCUGGUAAAGGUAAACACUUUUGCUUUAUUUCUUUGAUGGCUCAGAUGUAUGCGAUAUUUGAUUUUGUGUUUUCACUAUUAGUAUCUAUACAACCAAUGUGUUUGUGAUUAAAUUGUGUACAAGAGCACACAGUUCCUCAUAGAUCUAGCCUCUUAAUUUUGCUUUCAAAGUGCACCAGAUUGAUGCAUUCAACUUUAAAAUGGUAAAAAAAAAUCUUCCGGGGGAGCAUGCCCCCGGACCCCCUUAGAGGGUCCAACAUUCACCCACCAUAGUCUCAUUAAAUCCUGUGGGAAACACUGAUAUACCAUUAAACUACCACCACUGUUAAAAUGUUCACAGAUGCGCUAAUGUUUUAUUCAUGUUUAGUCUCUCUCGUGGAGGUAGUGAUGGAUUUCUCUGGGUUUGAACAUGGUUGGAAACACGAUUCCCAUCACA